rnacentral:lncRNA from 1 species
GACGUAGCCGCCACGAAGGCGCUAAGACGGAAAACGCUCUUAGCUAAGAGGAAAAACCUUCAAGAAAACAAGAUAAACCUUACAUGAAGCUGCUGAGCAUUUGUUUCGUAUCGUCAUUGACUCUCGAGUUGGCAAAGCUGAUGCAGGAGCAGUAUAGCGCAACCCAAGCACACCACUUCAACUGCAAAUGACAGCCCUGAGGUUACCUGAGGUUUCAAUCAACUUGCCUAAAAGGUCAACACUUCAAAAACGAAGGGUGAACAGGAGCACUGUCCAGAGCGAACGAUGCACUAGAACCCCUACCCCAGCCAGGAACCAGGAGAUAUGGAU